rnacentral:rRNA from 1 species
AACGAACGCUGGCGGCAUGCCUAACACAUGCAAGUCGAACGAGACCUUCGGGACUAGUGGCGCACGGGUGCGUAACGCGUGGGAAUCUGCCCUUGGGUUCGGGAUAACAGUUGGAAACGACUGCUAAUACCGGAUGAUGUCUUCGGACCAGAGAUUUAUCGCCCAGGGAUGAGCCCGCGUCGGAUUAGCUAGUUGGUGAGGUAAAGGCUCACCAAGGCGACGAUCCGUAGCUGGUCUGAGAGGAUGAUCAGCCACACUGGGACUGAGACACGGCCCAGACUCCUACGGGAGGCAGCAGUGGGGAAUAGUGGACAAUGGGCGAAAGCCUGAUCCAGCAAUGCCGCGUGAGUGAUGAAGGCCUUAGGGUUGUAAAGCUCUUUUACCCGGGAUGAUAAUGACAGUACCGGGAGAAUAAGCCCCGGCUAACUCCGUGCCAGCAGCCGCCGUAAUAC